UACGAAGGGGGGCUAGCGUUGCUCGGAAUCACUGGGCGUAAAGGGUGCGUAGGCGGGUCUUUUAAGUCAGGGGGUGAAAUCCUGGAGCUCAACUCCAGAACUGCCUUUGAUACUGAAGAUCUUGAGUUCGGGAGAGGUGAGUGGAACUGCGAGUGUAGAGGUGAAAUUCGUAGAUAUUCGCAAGAACACCAGUGGCGAAGGCGGCUCACUGGUCCGGUACUGACGCUGAUGUGCGAAAGCGUGGGGAGCAAACAGG
rnacentral:rRNA from 1 species